CCUUGUAUCUAUCCGGCAGAACACGCAUUGGGUGAACAUUUCAGAAGAGGUGUCACUCUUGAAGAUGGAGAAAGGCCUGUCACAUCUUUCGCACUGACAUGGGAUAUUUUAAAAGAGCAGAAAGGAGGUGCUGGUCAGAGGUGAUCCAGGCAUGCCAUUAGAAUUCUCCCAGCUACCUUGAGCUGGGGCAAGGCAAGGGUUCCCCUCUCUGGAAUCUCUUUUUGGUUUGUUUGUUUGUUUUUGUUUUUGUUUUUGAGACAGAGUCUCACUUUGUUGCCCAGGCUGGAGUGCAGUGGCACCAUCUAGGCUUACUGCAACCUCCGCCUCCCAGGUUCAAGCAAUUCUCCUGCCUCAGCCACCCGAGUAGCUGGGAUUACAGGCGUGCACCACCACAUCCUGCUAAUUUUUGUAUUUUUAGUAGAGAUGGGGUUUCUCCAUGUUGGCCAGGCUGGUCUUGAACUCCUGGCCUCAAGUGAUCCACCCACCUUGGCAGCCCAGAGUGCUGGGAUUACAGGCGUGAGCCACUGGGCGCAGCCCCUCUCUGGAAUCUCUAACCCCACAAAGGCGGAAAUUGCAGAGAGAAUGAGCACAGGCUGCUUCCCCACCAAUGGCUAAGCAGGUCCUGCCAGCUCAUGUCUCCUGCCAGCUCAUGUCUCCUGCCAGCUCAUGUCUCCUGCCAUGGGGGUCCUGAGGACAUGCGUGGCAAGCCCCUUGACAGUUGGGAGGAUGGGGGUGAGUGUCCCGCCCCAUCCAUUGUUCUGUGCCGAGUAAAAUUGUGGGACUAAGAGGAUGACUCCCUGACAUCCUGAGAACACCCAACUUUUACAGAACCAUGAGACGCAAGUAGGCAAGAUUUCUGAACAAAGCAGGGGUGUGAAGCAGAUUGAUGCAGGUGCUAGGUGCCCUCCUGCGUCCCUGAGCCUGUUUCUGGCCAAAGCUCACAGAGUACACUGAAAACAAAUGGCACAGCUCACCCAUCACGUCUGCUUCCCACUAACAAGCAAGAGUGCCAUGGGAUGAGGUCUCCUAGGCCAUGGGCAGAGGCCCCUCAGGGGUUCCCACCAUGCAUGGUCCCCUGGAGAAGAGCCUGCAAGGUGGCCGCGCCCCUGCCCUGGCUCUCCCAGCCCCUGGGCUUUGCUGUUCUGCCCACUCCAGGACACUGAGGCCUGCUGGAGAGGGGGGUAAACCCUACCUGGGGCAGGCCUCGGGGAAGCCUGGCCUCAGGCUUCUCAUGUUGAUUGAUUCAGAGCAAGUCAAAUGCAGCAGGCUCAUCCUUGCUUCAGCUUCAGGAUUAAUCAAUUUCUUUGGUUGCAUACGCCACAUUGAGCUGAGUUUCUACCACUGUAAACUGGUACCUGUGGUCUUCCCUCUUGGGUUUUUUGUUCUCGUGGGGAAGAAUCCGCCCUCCCUGUCAGCAUCAUUGGAAAUUGCCUCUCUGUCCAUUUGAACGGAACAUGGAGAACUCUGCCCAGCACUCCCACAGGAAUGGAGGCCUUCUGCAUGUUAAUUACUCACUGUCUCUGGCAAAGUGACAGGAACUGACAGAACCUUCAUGGCCCUGCAUCAGAGUC
rnacentral:lncRNA from 10 species